rnacentral:misc_RNA from 1 species
UACGGAGGGGGCUAGCGUUGUUCGGAAUUACUGGGCGUAAAGCGCGCGUAGGCGGAUCAGCCAGUUGGGGGUGAAAGCCCGAGGCUCAACCUCGGAACUGCCCUCAAUACUGUUGAUCUCGAGUCCGGGAGAGGUGAGUGGAAUUCCUAGUGUAGAGGUGAAAUUCGUAGAUAUUAGGAAGAACACCAGUGGCGAAGGCGGCUCACUGGCCCGAGACUGACGCUGAGGCGCGAAAGCGUGGGGAGCAAACAGG